GUGCUCACUUCGACAGCACAUAUACUAAAAGUGAAACCAUACAAAGAUUAGCAUGGCCCUUGCACAAGGAUGACAUGCAAAUUCAUGAAGCAUUCCAUAUUUUU
rnacentral:snRNA from 1 species